UAUAUACUCCCUCCGUUCGGAAUUACUUGUCAUAAAAAUAAAUGUAUCUACAACUAAAAUACAUCUAGAUACAUUCAUUUUUUGGACGAGUAAUUCCGAACGGGGGGAGUACAUC
rnacentral:pre_miRNA from 1 species